ACGUGAAGGACAUUAUAAAUGAUGACACGCUUUCAUUUCCGACCAAGUGGGCAGUGAAGACUCGGAAAGUAUACACCCAAGAUGAACUUGACGAGGUCCGCAUUGAAGUAGCUGACUAUUUGCAGACUUUGCUAUAGAUGCUGACUCUACCAAAGUGAUUUUGAGUAAGGCUAGCUAGAUUUUGUAGAAUCAUUUUGAAGUAGAACGUUGUACAGUUGCAGGUGAACUAAACUGCAUAUAGUUAUUGCAAUGGUCUAUUUUGGGCUAGCCUUGAUGUA